rnacentral:lncRNA from 10 species
GGCAGAGGGAAACUGGCAGAAAAACACAGGGAGCUGUGUGUGCAUAUAAGGAAUGCAUGAAAGAACACAACCCUGACUGAAACGUAGGACACUCAGAGAGAGAGGCACUGGGUGCUGCUGCUGAAAAUGUGGCCGGGUGCCCCAGCCAAUCAGACCUCAUUAGACCUGGUAGAAAGUAAGUGAUGGAAGCAAAGCUCUUAACCAGGAGACAUCGUGGAUGUGAAGGGUAUUGACUUUGGAAUCAUACAGAUCUUUGAUUCUGGUUGGUCGAAUCACUAGCUAUGUCACCUUAAGAAAUUAAUUUAACUUCAGUAAACUUUAAGUGUCUGAUCUUAAAAUGGGGAUCAAAUGACUGCCCAUCUUUCACUCAGGCUCUUGGGUAGAUUAAAUGAUAAAAUGCUGUCUAGUGUGUAUACCUGCCACAUAGUGGGUACUUAGAAAAUUAUUAAAACUCCACACAUUUGGAUAAAAAGAGAGAAAUAUGGGUUCUAGUGGAUUCUGGAGUAUCAGUUCAAAUAAGUGCCUGCAAGGUAGGGCAUCUUGUAGAUAACUGCCCUAUGCCAGCAUACAGAAAGGGGUCUGGACCUAGGAUACAGAGUGGCUUCACAAAAUAACACAUUAAAUAAGGGCUUUGAGUCAGAAUUUCUGCAAAGGAACUAUGCAAUAAACC